rnacentral:rRNA from 1 species
GAUGAACGCUGGCGGCGUGCCUAAUACAUGCAAGUCGAGCGAACAGACGAGGAGCUUGCUCCUCUGACGUUAGCGGCGGACGGGUGAGUAACACGUGGAUAACCUACCCAUAAGACUGGGAUAACUUCGGGAAACCGGAGCUAAUACCGGAUAAUAUAUUGAACCGCAUGGUUCAAUAGUGAAAGACGGUUUUGCUGUCACUUAUAGAUGGAUCCGCGCCGCAUUAGCUAGUUGGUAAGGUAACGGCUUACCAAGGCGACGAUGCGUAGCCGACCUGAGAGGGUGAUCGGCCACACUGGAACUGAGACACGGUCCAGACUCCUACGGGAGGCAGCAGUAGGGAAUCUUCCGCAAUGGGCGAAAGCCUGACGGAGCAACGCCGCGUGAGUGAUGAAGGUCUUCGGAUCGUAAAACUCUGUUAUUAGGGAAGAACAAAUGUGUAAGUAACUAUGCACGUCUUGACGGUACCUAAUCAGAAAGCCACGGCUAACUACGUG